rnacentral:rRNA from 1 species
UAGCUAGUUGGUGAGGUAAAGGCUUACCAAGGCGAUGAUCUGUAGCGGGUCUGAGAGGAUGAUCCGCCACACUGGAACUGAGACACGGUCCAGACUCCUACGGGAGGCAGCAGUGGGGAAUUUUGGACAAUGGGGGCAACCCUGAUCCAGCCAUGCCGCGUGAGUGAAGAAGGCCUUCGGGUUGUAAAGCUCUUUCGGCCGGGAAGAAAUCGCAUAGGCCAAUACCCUGUGUGGAUGACGGUACCGGAAUAAGAAGCACCGGCUAACUACGUGCCAGCAGCCGCGGUAAUACGUAGGGUGCGAGCGUUAAUCGGAAUUACUGGGCGUAAAGCGUGCGCAGGCGGUUUUGUAAGACAGGCGUGAAAUCCCCGGGCUUAACCUGGGAACUGCGUUUGUGACUGCAAGGCUGGAGUACGGCAGAGGGGGGUGGAAUUCCACGUGUAGCAGUGAAAUGCGUAGAGAUGUGGAGGAACACCAAUGGCGAAGGCAGCCCCCUGGGUCGAUACUGACGCUCAUGCACCAAAGCGUGGGUAGCAAACAGGAUUAGAUACCCUGGUAGUCCACGCCCUAAACUAUGUCAACUAGGUGUUGGGUGGGUAAAACCAUUUAGUACCGUAGCUAACGCGUGAAGUUGACCGCCUGGGGAGUACGGCCGCAAGGUUAAAACUCAAAGGAAUUGACGGGGACCCGCACAAGCGGUGGAUGAUGUGGAUUAAUUCGAUGCAACGCGAAAAACCUUACCUACCCUUGACAUGCCAGGAACUUGCCAGAGAUGGCUUGGUGCCCGAAAGGGAGCCUGGACACAGGUGCUGCAAGGCUGUCGUCAGCUCGUGUCGUGAGAUGUUGGGUUAAGUCCCGCAACGAGCGCAACCCUUGUCGUUAAUUGCCAUCAUUUGGUUGGGCACUAUAACGAGACUGCCGGUGACAAACCGGAGGAAGGUGGGGAUGACGUCAAGUCCUCAUGGCCCUUAUGGGUAGGGCUUCACACGUCAUACAAUGGUCGGUACAAAGGGUUGCCAAGCCGCGAGGCGGAGCCAAUCCCAGAAAGCCGAUCGUAGUCCGGAUUGCAGGCUGCAACUCGCCUGCAUGAAGUCGGAAUCGCUAGUAAUCGUGGAUCAGCAUGUCACGGUGAAUACGUUCCCGGGUCUUGUACACACCGCCCGUCACACCAUGGGAGCGGGUUCCGCCAGAAGUAGGUAGCCUAACCGCAAGGGGGGCGCUUACCACGGCGGGGUUCGUGACUGGGGUGAAGUCGUAACAAGGUAGCCGUAGGGGAACCUGCGGCUG